rnacentral:rRNA from 1 species
UACGUAGGGUCCGAGCGUUGUCCGGAAUUAUUGGGCGUAAAGAGCUCGUAGGCGGUUUGUCACGUCUGCUGUGAAAAUCCGGGGCUCAACCCCGGACUUGCAGUGGGUACGGGCAGACUAGAGUGUGGUAGGGGAGACUGGAAUUCCUGGUGUAGCGGUGAAAUGCGCAGAUAUCAGGAGGAACACCGAUGGCGAAGGCAGGUCUCUGGGCCACUACUGACGCUGAGAAGCGAAAGCAUGGGGAGCGAACAGG